rnacentral:rRNA from 1 species
CCUACGGGAGGCAGCAGUCGAGAAUCAUUCACAAUGGGGGAAACCCUGAUGGUGCGACGCCGCGUGGGGGAAUGAAGGUCUUCGGAUUGUAAACCCCUGUCAUGUGGGAGCAAAUUAAAAAGAUAGUACCACACGAGGAAGAGACGGCUAACUCUGUGCCAGCAGCCGCGGUAAUACAGAGGUCUCAAGCGUUGUUCGGAAUCACUGGGCGUAAAGCGUGCGUAGGCUGUUUCGUAAGUCGUGUGUGAAAGGCGCGGGCUCAACCCGCGGACGGCACAUGAUACUGCGAGACUAGAGUAAUGGAGGGGGAACCGGAAUUCUCGGUGUAGCAGGGAAAUGCGUAGAUAUCGAGAGGAACACUCGUGGCGAAGGCGGGUUCCUGGACAUUAACUGACGCUGAGGCACGAAGGCCAGGGGAGCGAAAGGGAUUAGAUACCCGGGUAGUC